CUGCAGAUUCUUCCAACAAGUGGGGAGACAGAGACAACCAAUUUAAAAAGUGCAUACAACUUAGAGGUGUGAUUAUGUACCUCCACUCUCCCUGGUGAUCCCAACACAGAUUUUCAAAUGAUGGGAAGACAACUUAGAGGUGUGGUUACGUACCUUCACUCUCCUGAUGAUUCCGGGAGAUCUCUCGCAUAACAAUGGUUGAGGGUACCCAUUAUAUGCACGCACUAGAAAUCGCCCAGCCAUGUUUCAGGCAAGUACCGAUAUGGUUGAUCAGGAAAUGAUGAAGUUUCCUUUGUUCUGUGAUGGUGCGAGUUCAGGCCAUGAUGGAAUUUCCUUUGUUUCUGUAAUGAUGCGGUUUCCUUUGCUAUUGCCCUCAAAUUAUGUGUAGUUUUCUUCAAAUGAUGGUGCGGUAGAGAUGCAGAAAUAAUGGUGCGUUAAUGGAGUUUCCUUUUCCUGUUGUCUUGGAAUGAUGCAGAAGUAAUGGAGUUUACUUUCCUGUUGUCCUGUAUUGAUUUUAUAGGGCCCUCAAAUUGUGUGUAGUUUCCUUCAAAUGAUGGUGCGGUAGAGAUGCAGAAAUAAUGGUGCGUUAAUGGAGUUUCCGUUUCCUGUUGUCUUGGAAUGAUGCGGAAGUAAUGGAGUUUCCUUUUGCUGU